GAUGAACGCUGGCGGCGUGCCUAAUACAUGCGAGUCGAGCGAACAGACGAGGAGCUUGCUCCUCUGACGUUAGCGGCGGACGGGUGAGUAACACGUGGAUAACAUACCUAUAUGACUGGGAUAACUACGGGAAACCGGAGCUAAUACCGGAGAAUAUAUUGAACCGCAUGGUUCAAUAGUGAAAGACGGUUUUGCUGUCACUUAUAGAUGGAUCCGCGCCGCAUUAGCUAGUUGGUAAGGUAACGGCUUACCAAGGCAACGAUGCGUAGCCGACCUGAGAGGGUGAUCGGCCACACUGGAACUGAGACACGGUCCAGACUCCUACGGGAGGCAGCAGUAGGGAAUCUUCCGCAAUGGGCGAAAGCCUGACGGAGCCACGCCGCGUGAGUGAUGAAGGUCUUCGGAUCGUAAAACUCUGUUAUUAGGGAAGAACAAAUGUGUAAGUAACUAUGCACGUCUUGACGGUACCUAAUCAGAAAGCCACGGCUAACUACGUG
rnacentral:rRNA from 1 species